AGUCACGCUGUAAACGAUGUCGAUUUGGAGGUUGUUCCCUUGAGGAGUGGCUUCCGGAGCUAACGCGUUAAAUCGACCGCGUGGGGAGUACGGCCGCAAGGUUAAAACUCAAAUGAAUUGACGGGGGCCCGCACAAGCGGUGGAGCAUGUGGUUUAAUUCGAUGCAACGCGAAGAACCUUACCUACUCUUGACAUCCAGAGAAUUUAGCAGAGAUGCUUUAGUGCCUUCGGGAACUCUGAGACAGGUGCUGCAUGGCUGUCGUCAGCUCGUGUUGUGAAAUGUUGGGUUAAGUCCCGCAACGAGCGCAACCCUUAUCCUUUGUUGCCAGCACAUUAUGGUGGGAACUCAAAGGAGACUGCCGGUGAUAAACCGGAGGAAGGUGGGGAUGACGUCAAGUCAUCAUGGCCCUUACGAGUAGGGCUACACACGUGCUACAAUGGCGUAUACAAAGAGAAGCGACCUCGCGAGAGCAAGCGGAACUCAUAAAGUACGUCGUAGUCCGGAUUGGAGUCUGCAACUCGACUCCAUGAAGUCGGAAUCGCUAGUAAUCGUAGAUCAGAAUGCUACGGUGAAUACGUUCCCGGGCCUUGUACACACCGCCCGUCACACCAUGGGAGUGGGUUGCAAAAGAAGUAGGUAGCUUAACCUUCGGGAGGGCGCUUACCACUUUGUGAUUCAUGACUGGGGUGAAGUCGUAACAAGGUAACCA
rnacentral:rRNA from 1 species